UCGGAAGGCGAUUGCCAGAGCAAGAUGAAGUUCGUAUGUUUAAUAUUAAUUAUGUUUAUAUUGAGUGCGUAUUGCAGGACUAUCACGGAUAAAAGUGAGGUUUUUAAUAAAAAUAGCGUCAGUUCAAGGACGAAACGAACUGUCAUAUAUAAUUACAACUGUCCUAUAGGAUAUGUAAAAGUGUCCCCGCGAGUUAUGAUAUGUGUGCCGUGUAAACAGCUCAAAGGGAGUCCGUGUUAAAAUAUUGCUCAGAGAAGAGGAAACAUCCAUGCAGAACUGAAAACUGUAUUAUCUAUUAUAUUUAUACUUUAAUAUAAUAGAGAUGGCUGUUCAGAUACAGAAGAUAGGCUUUUCAAAUAAAGCAGGGGUUUAUUUAUAGCUUAUACAUUCAAGUAGUCAGCUAAUGUGAGAGCAGAUUUGACAAUCUUCGGUUUUUAACAAGAAGAUAAUGAAUUGCUAUCCAUCUCUUUCUUUUGUUUUGAAUGAUAUGAGAUAGCAUGUGUGUGCUUCCAUUAAUUUUUUUUUCUAUAUUUAGUAAGAACAUGGAAAGAAAACGUCAUUGUUAACGCUAUUAAGUUAUUAUAUUGUUCUUAACUAUUUAUUUACUGCAAUGUUUAGUUUAGUUUAAAAGUGAAGUUUUUUGGUCUGUGUAUCGCAUGUCGCGUGACGGUCAGGCGAGAAGUAUGGAUAAAGGGAAAGGCUCUCGUCAGAGCAAUAUGGCGGCGUCUAUAGUUCUAUUAGCUAAAUAUAAAUAUCUAUAAUGUGAAAAAAGUUUCACUUUUACCGUGGUUUCAUAAAACCCCACAAUCCUUCUUUUAAAUACUAUCAUAUAUAGAGAAAAACUGGUCAUAUUACAGAAAAAGGCAUAAAUUUACAGUCAAUGAAUUGAAAUGUAUUAAGCGUAAGAAUAUGACAAAUAUUAAGUAAUUAAUACUUGUUAAAUAUUCAGUACAUUGCAAUAUGAAUCCAAAUACAGAUAAAAUAAUAUCUGAUAUCAUAAAACAUGUUAUAUAGAAAUGUAAAAAUACUUUUAUUUAUAAGCGACUCUUUGCUCAGUGAACAUGUGAUUUUGUUAGUUAUCUAGGUAAUUUCUAGUAGCUUAAAGGAAUUUUUAUAAAAAUGUUUUUGAUGGUAGAUAAAUUUGUAACCAAAGAAAUAGGUGAAACAUCAAAUUUCUCUGUUAAAAUUCUAUCGUCAAGUAACUUCUUAAUGUUUCUAUAUUUUGAUUGUACAAUAAAAAUACUAAAUUGAAAAUUGUAACUGUGUUAGAUCUAAAACUGAACGAAAAUAUACUUUUUGUAUAAUG